GAUCCUGAAACUUCAGUUCGAGUCACAAGAUGGCGGGACAAGUGCAGAAACAUAGGGUUUGAGGGUUAAAUUUCCACCAGGAAUUUCAGUAGUUGACAUCUCCAGAUAUUUCGCCGACAAGGUGACCUUCAGAUAUUUAACUGACAAGGUACGAUGAUUAGGAUAGUAAUUUACUGGAUUUUACGUCGUUAGUACAUGAUUGUAAUAUGGAAAUUUUGGUUUGUACAUUCACUCAUUAAUUGAUAAUAAUUAAUCAAUUUCUAUAUGAUGCCGGUCUACAUGAAAUUAACGGGUCAAUUGAAAAGGAGAGGUUGGUAAUUCGAUAGGAAAUGUCGAGAAUCGAUUGUUCCUGUUCGUUAUUGGCCAUCACAUUCAAUACUGCGCAUGCAUGCACACACUGCACUUAAUUGCUUUUGAGAUCAAUGAUGCAACAUUGAGAUGAUGUAUCAAAUGAGUUUUCAUUGAAUAUAACUGAGGUGAUGAUAGAUAGCGAAAUUUUCAUACAAGAUUUUUUAUUCAGAUAUUCGUGAAAAGCGUCUGAAUUUUUAUGAUGUCCAUUUAAGCUCGGACGUCAAUUUUACCCGAGCCGCG